rnacentral:rRNA from 1 species
UACGUAGGGGUGCAAGCGUUUAAUCGGAAUUACUGGGCGUAAAGCGUGCGCAGGCGGCUUUGCAAGACAGAAUGUGAAAUCCCCGGGCUUAACCUGGGAACUGCAUUUGUGACUGCAUGGCUGGAGUGCGGGCAGAGGGGGAUGGAAUUCCGCGUGUAGCAGUGAAAUGCGUAGAUAUGCGGAGGAACACCGAUGGCGAAGGCAAUCCCCUGGGCCUGCACUGACGCUCAUGCACGAAAGCGUGGGGAGCAAACAGG